rnacentral:rRNA from 1 species
AGGACGAACGCUGGCGGCGUGCUUAACACAUGCAAGUCGAGCGGAAAGGCCCUUCGGGGUACUCGAGCGGCGAACGGGUGAGUAACACGUGAGCAACCUGCCCUUAGCUUCGGGAUAGCUCCGGGAAACCGGAAUUAAUACCGAAUAUGACUUUGGCUGACAUCAGCAGAAGUGGAAAGUUUUUCGGCUAGGGAUGGACUCGCGGCCUAUCAGCUAGUUGGUGAGGUAACGGCCCACCAAGGCGACGACGGGUAGCCGGCCUGAGAGGGCGACCGGCCACACUGGGACUGAGACACGGCCCAGACUCCUACGGGAGGCAGCAGUGGGGAAUAUUGCACAAUGGACGAAAGUCUGAUGCAGCAACGCCGCGUGGGGGAUGAAGCUUCUCGGAGUGUAAACCCCUUUCGACCCGGACGAAUGCCCGCAAGGGUUUGACGGUACGGGUAUAAGAAGCCCCGGCUAACUACGCGCCAGCAGCCGC